rnacentral:rRNA from 1 species
GACGAACCGUGCGAACGUUGUUCGGAAUCACUGGGCUUAAAGGGAGCGUAGGCGGGCUAUCAAGUCUGGGGUGAAAUCCCACGGCUCCAACCGUGGAACUGCCUUAGAUACUGACGGCUCGAGGGAGAUAGGGGCAUGCGGAACUGUAGGUGGAGCGGUGAAAUGCGUUGAUAUCUACAGGAACUCCGGUGGCGAAAGCGGCGUGCUGGGCAGUGGCUGACGCUGGAGGCGCGACAGCUGGGGAGGCAA